CAAGGCGUAGCUAAAAGAAUAGCAUCUCCCUUACACCGAGAAGAUACCCGUGCAAGCCCGGUCGCCCUGA
rnacentral:tRNA from 1 species